rnacentral:rRNA from 1 species
CGGAUACGCUGGCGGCGUGCAUACACAUGCAGUCGAACGAUGAAACUUUAAUGAACCCUUCGGGGAGAAUUAAAGCGGAUUAGUGGCGAACGGGUGAGUAACGCGUGAGUAACCUGCCUUACACAAGGGGAUAGCCUUUGGAAACGAAGAAUAAUACCCUAUAAAACCAUAAAAGCACAUGCAAUUAUGGUCAAAGUGAUAGCGGUGUAAGAUGGACUUGCGUCUGAUUAGCUAGUUGGUGAGAUAAAAGCCCACCAAAGGCAAACGAUCAGGUAAGCCCGGGCUUGGAAGAAGAAGUUGGUUACCGGGCCAACCAAUUGGGGACUGAGAACACGGCCCAGAACUCCUACGGGAGGCAGCAGUGGGGAAUUUUGCACAAUGGGGGAAACCCUGAUGCAGCGACGCCGCGUGAUUUAGAAGGCCUUCGGGUUGUAAAAAUCUUUUGUAUAGGAAGAAAAUGACAGUACUAUACGAAUAAGGUCCGGCUAAUUACGUGCCAGCAGCCGCGGUAAUACGUAAGGACCGAGCGUUGUCCGGAAUCAUUGGGCGUAAAGGGUACGUAGGCGGCUAGAAAAGUUAGAAGUCAAAGGCUAUAGCUCAACUAUAGUAAGCUUCUAAAACUAUUUAGCUUGAGAGAUGGAAGGGAAAGUGGAAUUCCUAGUGUAGCGGUGGAAUGCGCAGAUAUUAGGAGGAAUACCGGUGGCGAAGGCGACUUUCUGGCCAUUUUCUGACGCUGAGGUACGAAAGCGUGGGUAGCAAACAGGAUUAGAUACCCUGGUAGUCCACGCCGUAAACGAUGAGUGUUAGGUGUCUGGAGUCAAAUCUGGGUGCCGCAGCAAACGCAUUAAACACUCCGCCUGGGGAGUACGCACGCAAGUGUGAAACUCAAAGGAAUUGACGGGGACCCGCACAAGCAGCGGAGCAUGUGGUUUAAUUCGACGCAACGCGAAGAACCUUACCAAGUCUUGACAUAUUUUAGAAGCAAUUAGAGAUAAUUGCCUAUAUCUUCGGAUAACUAAAAUACAGGUGGUGCAUGGUUGUCGUCAGCUCGUGUCGUGAGAUGUUGGGUUAAAUCCCAUAAACGAGCGGCAACCCCUAUUGCUAGUUACCAUCAUUAAGUUGGGGACUCUAGUAAUACUGCCGGUGACAAACCGGAGGAAGGUGGGGAUGACGUCAAAUCAUCAUGCCCUUUAUGACUUGGGCUACACACGUGCUACAAUGGCAGGUACACAGGGAAGCAAGACUGUGAAGUUAAGCAAACUCAAAAAGCCUGUCCCAGUUCGGAUUGCACUCUGCAACUCGAGUGCAUGAAGUUGGAGUGCUAUAUCGCAGUCAGAUC